rnacentral:rRNA from 1 species
ACACUCCUGCGGGAGGCAGCAGUGGGGAAUAUUGCACAAUGGGCGGAAGCCUGAUGCAGCAACGCCGCGUGCGGGAUGACGGCCUUCGGGUUGUAAACCGCCUUCGCCUGUGACGAAGCGUGAGUGACGGUAAUGGGUAAAGAAGCACCGGCUAACUACGUGCCAGCAGCCGCGGUGAUACGUAGGGUGCGAGCGUUGUCCGGAUUUAUUGGGCGUAAAGGGCUCGUAGGUGGUUGAUCGCGUCGGAAGUGUAAUCUUGGGGCUUAACCCUGAGCGUGCUUUCGAUACGGGUUGACUUGAGGAAGGUAGGGGAGAAUGGAAUUCCUGGUGGAGCGGUGGAAUGCGCAGAUAUCAGGAGGAACACCAGUGGCGAAGGCGGUUCUCUGGGCCUUUCCUGAUGCUGAGGAGCGAAAGCGUGGGGAGCGAACAGGCUUAGAAACCCGAGUAGUCCCAUGA